rnacentral:rRNA from 1 species
UCCGUAGGUGAACCUGCGGAGGGAUCAUUACACAAAUAUGAAGGCGGGCUGGAAUCUCUCGGGGUUACAGCCUUGCUGAAUUAUUCACCCGUGUCUUUUGCGUACUUCUUGUUUCCUUGGUGGGUUCGCCCACCACUAGGACAAACCAUAAACCUUUUGUAAUUGCAAUCAGCGUCAGUAACAAACAUAAUAAUUACAACCUUCAACAACGGAUCUCUUGGUUCUGGCAUCGAUGAAGAACGCAGCGAAAUGCGAUAAGUAGUGUGAAUUGCAGAAUUCAGUGAAUCAUCGAAUCUUUGAACGCACAUUGCGCCCUUUGGUAUUCCAAAGGGCAUGCCUGUUCGAGCGUCAUUUGUACCCUCAAGCUUUGCUUGGUGUUGGGCGUCUUGUCUCCAGUUUCGCUGGAGACUCGCCUUAAAGUCAUUGGCAGCCGGCCUACUGGUUUCGGAGCGCAGCACAAGUCGCGCUCUCUUCCAGCCAAGGUCAGCAUCCACAAAGCCUUUUUUCAACUUUUGACCUCGGAUCAGGUAGGGAUACCCGCUGAACUUAAGCAUAUCAAUAAGCGGAGGA